CUCAGGAUGAGGAAUGAAGAUGGCCAUCUUGUGCUCAAACAAACAGAAGUCCUCUGAUGAUCUCUUCAGCCAAACGAGGGGUUUUGACCAAGUGAUGCUCUUGAAAGGAGUGAAAGAAGAGGAUGUGGUAAAUUGUCUUCAGAGAAAAAGCUUCUCAAAAGGUCUUAAAACAGCUUGAAGAAUGGUCUGGGAUGUUAGGACUGAGAGAUCC